CUCCGGUGCCACGAGUCCCCAUCUUCCCCUUCGUGACCAAUCCCAGGCUCCGCUGAGCACUGAUGACCCAGCUACUCCCAAGACGGAUCUGAGCACACACCGCUGGGCCCAGGGCUGCCCCGGACCCCAGGCCCCCUGCUCCACGCCAGAGACGGAGGUUGCUGUCCGGCCGGAGCCCUGAAAAAUAGGGACACUGAGGCAGAGGCUUGGCUGGGGAAGCCCAGAGAGGAGACCGAGGCCGUCAGGCGCAGCGUGAGGCUCUGGAAGAGCCUGGCAGGUGCCCUCCCCGUGCCCACCCCGGCAUGACGGCUGGGAGCUCCCCAUGCUCCCCCUCCUCUCUUUCAGGCCUGUCUAGACUCUGCCAACACGAGCUGCUCUCACGGCAACCACACAGCAGGGGCUGUAGCUGCCGAAGAAGAAGGCUACGUGGGGUCGUGGCUGGCCAGGAGAGGCGCCCUGACGGACGGAACAUGUGAACAUGUGAACCAGAGGACGUGACUCACUUCUCCAGGGGCCUUGCUAUCAGGCAGCCUUUUGCGUGAGGUUUUCCACGCUGAUCUGCGUGCCCAAGCUCUCCCCACUCUUACUGGGGGUCUCUUUAAACAUCUGCAUUACUAAUUUCCCUGGGAUCUUUAACCACCUUACGUGAAAUGAACAUCCUUUCCACUUCCUUUGGGGGGGGGGGGUAAAAACUGUCAUUGUAAGCACUGAAUACAUUUACAAAGUGAUGUCUUAAAUACUGAAAUGUGCUGCAAUAUCACUGGGUUACUUACAGCAUCAGGCUUUCUAACAGUAUUGAUGGCGCUUUGCAGGUGGCCCGGCCGGUGGCAGACACAGGUCCGGUGUUAGGGAUAAGCAGCCCCUUGUAGUCCCCUCACUGGAUGUCUGUGGCCUUAUUGACAAACCCUACUUUGCACUAGAGGGAAAAAACUCUUGAAUCUAAGAUUAAGAAUGUGAGGUGGACCCAAAGAUGAGGGGGAGAGGGAAGCUAUGGAUAAGGUUCUUCCCGUGUUAUCUGGAGAAUGUCCACUUGGUGGCCCCACACGGCCACGAUCCCCGAAACCACAUCAACAACGGGUGUCUGCGCUGACUGCCCAGGGAGGCCAGCCAAGGAGCAGAGGGGCAGGGGCAGAGGCCAGAACUGAGCUCAGCCAUCAUGUGGGAGAGGACAGGAUGUCCGGAGAGCAAACUCUGGAGCUCGGGGGAGAAGUGGUAUGGACCCAGCCUUUGUCAUCUGGGCCCCACGGCGGCGCCCCAGCCCAUCUGGAACCUUCCCCUUGCGAGUGGGCAUCUGCCUGCUGAUUCCCGCCCACCUCUGGCAGGGUCCAGCCCCAGCUACCCACAGGUGUCUUGGGUCCUGUGUCUUUACACUGGGACUUGUCAGCUGUGGGUCGCUGGAAGCACCUGCAGUGGCUUUGGUGUUGCAGGCCCGGCACAGAUGCACAGUGUGUGACACGUGGCUGUCGUGGUCCCUGGUCUAGAGGUUUCCAGCUGUGGAGCUUCCUGAUAAAAUGAGGUGACAGAGGGCAAGGAGGCUGCCAAAAGCUGAGGGACGAUGAGGGGAGGGUGUCUGGGCUCUCCGAGGCAAGAAUGUUCUCCAAGGUUUUAGCGUUAGUUGCGGGGAGGAGGGGGGAGUCACCUUACGGCUCUUCCUGAGGAGGGAUCAUGGCAUCGGUGUGAGGGUAGAAACAGUGUCCACUCGGACGACCAGAGCCACAGCCCAGAGAUCUCAGGUUGUUUCAGAAAGAUGUCACCGAGGGAUGCUGCGGAGGCUCCUGCUCAGGACUAACGGCCUGACAACGCGGAGGUGACAGGGACCGUGUGGCCAGCAGCAGAGAGGGGCCACAGGUGGGGAGGGGGCAGACAGUUCCUGACACCAUUCAGCCCUCAGUAGAGCCUGGACUCUUCCGUCCUCUCCUGAAGCACAUGAACCUCCUGCUGUUCCUCUGCACCGGAGUCAACGCCCUCUCCUUGUGGUGAAUCUGACACACGGGUACCUUUCUAGUUCUGUUCCUCGGGAAGCCGGAUGAAAGGGGAAUGUCAGCUGUCUCAAGGCAACGUUG